GACCUUCACCCUGUCAGCCAACACAGAGUUCAGAUAACAAUAACUGCAGCACAUGUUUUGACGUAUGACCAAGCUUUCUUCCGGAGAGAGGGGGAGUGUUCUGAGAGAGUUUGGUAAAAACUAACCAUCACAGAUUUCACGGCCAGUUCUUCAACCAACACCACGAGGAAAGGAGAAUGGCCGUCUCCAUGACCCUCUGCAAGCUGUUCUGUCAUGCCGACAAGAAUGGCUAAAGAACAAACGAAACUAACGCAAGACUCUCCCAGAGUCACUGAUUUCUGAAGUUAAGUUAAAAGACAAAACGUGCAUCUGCCAAACGCUUCGUACAGCCGUGUAGGACAUCUCUGGGCCGGACGAUCGGACACUUGCGUCUACUCUGCCAGCCGAAGUGCCACCUUGGAUGAACCCAUCCUCCUGACGUCCGGAUCCACAAAGGGGGUCCUGUUUUGGAGGUCUGGUGAGGUUUUCUGGGCACGUCCAACCAGGAGGGGACCUAAAGGGAGACCCAGGACACGUUGGAGGGACUAUGUUUCUCACCUGGUCAGGGAACAUCUUGGGAUUGCCCCGGAAGAGCUGGCCGAAUGAAGUCUGGGCCUCUCGACUUAGGCUGCUGCCCCGUGACCCGACUCCAGAUAAGCGAAUAGAUGGAUGGAUUUGGAUCUGGAGACCACUCCACAAUCUUGAUAUGCUCUUAUGGAUUUUUGACCCUAAUGGCCAUCCGUUGAAACUGCUGAAAAACUCAAGACUGCCUUUUAAUCCACACCAAGUGUGCCACAACAAGUGACUAUUGUAUGAGGUCA